GGUUAAGCGACUAAGCGUACACGGUGGAUGCCCUGGCAGUCAGAGGCGAUGAAGGGCGUGCUAAUCUGCGAUAAGCGCCGGUAAGGUGAUAUGAACCGUUAUAACCGGCGAUACCCGAAUGGGGAAACCCAGUGUGACUCGUCACACUAUCAUUAACUGAAUCCAUAGGUUAAUGAGGCGAACCGGGGGAACUGAAACAUCUAAGUACCCCGAGGAAAAGAAAUCAACCGAGAUUCCCCCAGUAGCGGCGAGCGAACGGGGAGGAGCCCAGAGCCUGAAUCAGCAUAUGUGUUAGUGGAAGCGUCUGGAAAGGCGCGCGAUACAGGGUGACAGCCCCGUACACAAAAGCGCAUGUGCUGUGAGCUCGAUGAGUAGGGCGGGACACGUGGUAUCCUGUCUGAAUAUGGGGGGACCAUCCUCCAAGGCUAAAUACUCCUGACUGACCGAUAGUGAACCAGUACCGUGAGGGAAAGGCGAAAAGAACCCCGGCGAGGGGAGUGAAAAAGAACCUGAAACCGUGUACGUACAAGCAGUGGGAGCACAGGUUUACCUGUGUGACUGCGUACCUUUUGUAUAAUGGGUCAGCGACUUAUAUUCUGUAGCAAGGUUAACCGAAUAGGGGAGCCGGAGGGAAACCGAGUCUUAAUUGGGCGUUAAGUUGCAGGGUAUAGACCCGAAACCCGGUGAUCUAGCCAUGGGCAGGUUGAAGGUUGGGUAACACUAACUGGAGGACCGAACCGACUAAUGUUGAAAAAUUAGCGGAUGACCUGUGGCUGGGGGUGAAAGGCCAAUCAAACCGGGAGAUAGCUGGUUCUCCCCGAAAGCUAUUUAGGUAGCGCCUCGUGAA
rnacentral:rRNA from 1 species